GGCCUUAUGGUCUAGUAGCAUGAUUCUUCCUUUGGGUAUUCCUUAGUGUCCACAAUUGGAAGAGGUCCUGGGUUCAAUUCCCAGUGAGGCCC